rnacentral:rRNA from 1 species
UACGUAGGGUGCGAGCGUUGUCCGGAAUUAUUGGGCGUAAAGGGCUCGUAGGCGGUUUGUCGCGUCGGGAGUGAAAACCAGGUGCUUAACACCUGGCUUGCUUUCGAUACGGGCAGACUAGAGGUAUUCAGGGGAGAACGGAAUUCCUGGUGUAGCGGUGAAAUGCGCAGAUAUCAGGAGGAACACCGAUGGCGAAGGCAGGUCUCUGGGCCGAUACUGACGCUGAGGAGCGAAAGCGUGGGGAGCGAACAGG